GGAGAGGAAAGUGGAAUUCCCAGUGUAGCGGUGAAAUGCGUAGAUAUUAGGAGGAACACCAGUGGCGAAGGCGACUUUCUGGACUGUUACUGACACUGAGGCACGAAAGCGUGGGGAGCAAACAGGAUUAGAUACCCUGGUAGUCCACGCCGUAAACGAUGAGCACUAGGUGUCGGGGUCGCAAGACUUCGGUGCCGCAGUUAACGCAUUAAGUGCUCCGCCUGGGGAGUACGCACGCAAGUGUAAAACUCAAAGGAAUUGACGGGGACCCGCACAAGCAGCGGAGCAUGUGGUUUAAUUCGAAGCAACGCGAAGAACCUUACCAGGACUUGACAUCCUCUUGACAGAUCCUUAAUCGGAUUCUUCUUCGGACAAGAGAGACAGGUGGUGCAUGGUUGUCGUCAGCUCGUGUCGUGAGAUGUUGGGUUAAGUCCCGCAACGAGCGCAACCCUUGCCAUUAGUUGCCAUCAUUUAGUUGGGCACUCUAGUGGGACUGCCGGGGAAAACUCGGAGGAAGGUGGGGAUGACGUCAAAUCAUCAUGCCCCUUAUGUUCUGGGCUACACACGUGCUACAAUGGCCGGUACAACAGGCAGCGAACCCGUGAGGGGGAGCGAAUCCCAAAAGCCGGUCCCAGUUCGGACUGUAGGCUGCAACUCGCCUACACGAAGUUGGAGUUGCUAGUAAUCGCGGAUCAGAAUGCCGCGGUGAAUGCGUUCCCGGGUCUUGUACACACCGCCCGUCACACCAUGGAAGUUGGGGGUGCCCGAAGUCGGUUAUUUAAUCUAUCGCCUAAGGCAAAACCAAUGACUGGGGUGAAGUCGUAACAAGGUAACC
rnacentral:rRNA from 1 species